AGAAUCAACGCUGGCGGCGUGCCUCAGACAUGCAAGUCGAACGCGAAAGUCCCCUUCGGGGGACAAGUAGAGUGGCGCACGGGUGAGUAACACGUAGGUAAUCUACCUUCGGAUGGGGAAUAACAACCGGAAACGGUUGCUAAUACCGCAUAAUGCAGCGGCACCUAAUGGUGACAGUUGUUAAAGCGGGGGAUCGAAAGACCUCGCGUCUGAAGAGGAGCCUGCGGCGGAUUAGCUAGUUGGUAGGGUAACGGGCCUACCAAGGCGACGAUCC
rnacentral:rRNA from 1 species